CGGGGUAUAGCGCAGUCUGGUAGCGCACCUGCUUUGGGAGCAGGGUGUCGGGGGUUCAAAUCCCUCUACCCCGA
rnacentral:tRNA from 2 species